ensembl:lncRNA
CCAGGAUGGAGAACAGGGGUCAGGAUGGAGAACAGGGGUCAGGAUGGAGAACAGGGGUCAGGAUGGAGAACAGGGGUCAGGAUGGAGAACAGGGGUCAGGAUGGAGAACAGGGGUCAGGAUGGAGAACAGGGGUCAGGAUGGAGAACAGGUGUCAUGGUGGAGAACAGGGGUCAGGAUGGAGAACAGGGGUCAGGAUGGAGAACAGGGGUCAGGAUGGAGAACAGGUGUCAGGAUGGAGAACAGGGGUCAUGGUGGAGAACAGGGGUCAGGAUGGAGAACAGGUGUCAGGAUGGAGAACAGGGGUCAGGAUGGAGAACAGGUGUCAGGAUGGAGAACAGGUGUCAGGAUGGAGAACAGGGGUCAUGGUGGAGAACAGGUGUCAGGAUGGAGAACAGGGGUCAGGAUGGAGAACAGGGGUCAGGAUGGAGAACAGGGGUCAUGGUGGAGAACAGGGGUCAGGAUGGAGAACAGGGGUCAGGAUGGAGAACAGGGGUCAUGGUGGAGAACAGGGGUCAUGGUGGAGAACAGGGGUCAGGAUGGAGAACAGGGGUCAGGAUGGAGAACAGGGGUCAGGAUGGAGAACAGGGGUCAGGAUGGAGAACAGGUGUCAGGAUGGAGAACAGGGGUCAUGGUGGAGAACAGGGGUCAGGAUGGAGAACAGGGGUCAGGAUGGAGAACAGGGGUCAGGAUGGAGAACAGGGGUCAUGGUGGAGAACAGGGGUCAGGAUGGAGAACAGGGGUCAGGAUGGAGAACAGGGGUCAGGAUGGAGAACAGGGGUCAGGAUGGAGAACAGGGGUCAUGGUGGAGAACAGGGGUCAGGAUGG